AUUGGGAGGAAAAGAGAAUUUUGCCUCUGGACACUGAAAGAUGUAGCUCUUCCCUACUGUUCCAGAUGCAAGCCGCCAUGCUUCCCACCAUGAUGAUAAUGGACUGAGCCUGUGAAACUGCAAGCCAGCCCCAGUGAAAUGCUUUCAUUUAUCAGAGUUGCUUUUGUUGCUCAGAUCUCUUCACAGCAAGAGAACAGGGACUAAGACGAUGGCCCUUCUAGUCCUUAAAGUGACACUUCCCAG
rnacentral:lncRNA from 1 species